rnacentral:rRNA from 1 species
AGGGUUCCUGCGCAACGUUAAUCGGCGCAGGGUGAGUCGGCCCCUAAGGCGAGGCUGAGAAGCGUAGUCGAUGGGAAACAGGUUAAUAUUCCUGUACUUGUAUAUAUUGCGAUGGGGAGACGGAGAAAGCUAAACCAGCAUGGCGACGGUUGUCCAUGUUUAAGGUUGUAGGCUGAGGACUUAGGCAAAUCCGGGUCCUUAAGGCUGAGAACUGAUGACGAGAUCUCUUUUAGAGAUUGAAGUGGUUGAUGCUCUGCUUCCAGGAAAAACCUCUAAGCUUCAGAUAUAUAGGAACCGUACCCCAAACCGACACAGGUGGUCAGGUAGAGAAUACCAAGGCGCUUGAGAGAACUCGGGUGAAGGAACUAGGCAAAAUGGUACCGUAACUUCGGGAGAAGGUACGCCGAUUUUGGUGAUCAGACUUGCUCUGUAAGCUGAGGUCGGCCGAAGAUACCAGUUGGCUGCGACUGUUUAUUAAAAACACAGUACUCUGCAAACACGAAAGUGGACGUAUAGGGUAUGACACCUGCCCGGUGCCGGAAGGUUAAUUGAUGGGGUUAGCGUAUGCGAAGCUCUUGAUCGAAGCCCCGGUAAACGGCGGCCGUAACUAUAACGGUCCUAAGGUAGCGAAAUUCCUUGUCGGGUAAGUUCCGACCUGCACGAAUGGUGUAACGAUGGCCAAGCUGUCUCCACCCGAGACUCAGUGAAAUUGAAAUCGCUGUUAAGAUGCAGCGUAUCCGCGGCUAGACGGAAAGACCCCGUGAACCUUUACUAUAGCUUCACAGUGAACUUUGAACCUAUUUGUGUAGGAUAGGUGGGAGGCUUUGAAACCAGGUCGCUAGAUCUGGUGGAGCCAUCCUUGAAAUACCACCCUGGUAUGUUUGAGGUUCUAACUCGGGUCCCUUAUCGGGAUCGAGGACACUGUGUGGUGGGUAGUUUGACUGGGGCGGUCUCCUCCCAAAGAGUAACGGAGGAGCACGAAGGUGCGCUAAGCAUGGUCGGACAUCAUGCGGUUAGUGUAAUGGCAUAAGCGCGCUUAACUGCGAGACAGACACGUCGAGCAGGUACGAAAGUAGGUCAUAGUGAUCCGGUGGUUCUGUAUGGAAGGGCCAUCGCUCAACGGAUAAAAGGUACUCCGGGGAUAACAGGCUGAUACCGCCCAAGAGUUCACAUCGACGGCGGUGUUUGGCACCUCGAUGUCGGCUCAUCACAUCCUGGGGCUGAAGCCGGUCCCAAGGGUAUGGCUGUUCGCCAUUUAAAGUGGUACGCGAGCUGGGUUUAGAACGUCGUGAGACAGUUCGGUCCCUAUCUGCCGUGGACGUUGGAAAAUUGAGAAGAGCUGCUCCUAGUACGAGAGGACCGGAGUGGACGAACCCCUGGUGUUCGGGUUGUGUCGCCAGACGCAUUGCCCGGUAGCUACGUUCGGACAGGAUAACCGCUGAAAGCAUCUAAGCGGGAAGCCCCCUUCAAGAUAAGUUUUCCCUGGGAAUUUAAUUCCCCUAAAGAGCCGUUAAAGACUAUGACGUUGAUAGGCUGGGUGUGUAAGUGCGGUAACGUAUUGAGCUAACCAGUACUAAUUGCUCGUGAGGCUUAACUAUAUAACGCCCAAG